CUGGUUGAUCCUGCCAGUAGUCAUAUGCUUGUCUCAAAGAUUAAGCCAUGCACGUGUAAGUAUAAACAAAUUAUACUGUGAAACUGCGAAUGGCUCAUUAAAUCAGUUAUAGUUUAUUUGAUAGUGGAAUGCUACAUGGAUAACCGUGGUAAUUCUAGAGCUAAUACAUGCGAAAAGACCCGACUUUUGGGAAGGGUUGUAUUUAUUAGAUUCAAAACCAAUGAGCCGCAAGGCUGUUUCCGCAAGGAAAGGGUGGUGAUUCAUAAUAACUGUGCGAAUCGUAUUGGGCACUUGCUGCCGACGAUGGAUCAUUCAAAUUUCUGACUUAUUAACUUUCGAUGGUAAGGUAGUGGCUUACCAUGGUCGCCAUGAGUAACGGAGGAUCAGGGUUCGAUUCCGGAGAGGGGGCCUGAGAAAUGGCCACCACAUCCAAGGAAGGCAGCAGGCGCGUAAAUUAUCCACUUCCAGAGCGGAGAGAUAGUGACAAUAAAUAACAAUGCUCGACUCUUUAGAGCCGAGCAAUUGGAAUGAGUACAACGUAAAGAACUUAACGAGAACCAAUUGGAGGGCAAGUCUGGU
rnacentral:rRNA from 1 species